UGUCGUUUAUAAAAUCAAUGUUAUACAGUAGUCCUAUAGAUAUUCUAUUCAUUUAGUAAUACGUAGAUAUAAGAAGAUGUGGUAUGAGUGCCAAUGAGGCAACUCUCCAUCCAAGUCACAAUUUGUAAAAGUAAAUGUAAUGAAAAAGAGUUUUUCCUUGAUAUUUUCGCGUUUGAAUUCUUACCGCGAAACUACCGCGAAAAUUUCCCUGUUU
rnacentral:lncRNA from 1 species